rnacentral:rRNA from 1 species
GAUGAACGCUGGCGGCGUGCCUAAUACAUGCAAGUCGAGCGAACGGACGAGAAGCUUGCUUCUCUGAUGUUAGCGGCGGACGGGUGAGUAACACGUGGAUAACCUACCUAUAAGACUGGGAUAACUUCGGGAAACCGGAGCUAAUACCGGAUAAUAUUUUGAACCGCAUGGUUCAAAAGUGAAAGACGGUCUUGCUGUCACUUAUAGAUGGAUCCGCGCUGCAUUAGCUAGUUGGUAAGGUAACGGCUUACCAAGGCAACGAUGCAUAGCCGACCUGAGAGGGUGAUCGGCCACACUGGAACUGAGACACGGUCCAGACUCCUACGGGAGGCAGCAGUAGGGAAUCUUCCGCAAUGGGCGAAAGCCUGACGGAGCAACGCCGCGUGAGUGAUGAGGGUCUUCGGAUCGUAAAACUCUGUUAUUAGGGAAGAACAUAUGUGUAAGUAACUGUGCACAUCUUGACGGUACCUAAUCAGAAAGCCACGGCUAACUACGUGCCAGCAGCCGCGGUAAUACGUAGGUGGCAAGCGUUAUCCGGAAUUAUUGGGCGUAAAGCGCGCGUAGGCGGUUUUUUAAGUCUGAUGUGAAAGCCCACGGCUCAACCGUGGAGGGUCAUUGGAAACUGGAAAACUUGAGUGCAGAAGAGGAAAGUGGAAUUCCAUGUGUAGCGGUGAAAUGCGCAGAGAUAUGGAGGAACACCAGUGGCGAAGGCGACUUUCUGGUCUGUAACUGACGCUGAUGUGCGAAAGCGUGGGGAUCAAACAGGAUUAGAUACCCUGGUAGUCCACGCCGUAAACGAUGAGUGCUAAGUGUUAGGGGGUUUCCGCCCCUUAGUGCUGCAGCUAACGCAUUAAGCACUCCGCCUGGGGAGUGCGACCGCAAGGUUGAAACUCAAAGGAAUUGACGGGGACCCGCACAAGCGGUGGAGCAUGUGGUUUAAUUCGAAGCAACGCGAAGAACCUUACCAAAUCUUGACAUCCUUUGACAACUCUAGAGAUAGAGCCUUCCCCUUCGGGGGACAAAGUGACAGGUGGUGCGUGGUUGUCGUCAGCUCGUGUCGUGAGAUGUUGGGUUAAGUCCCGCAACGAGCGCAACCCUUAAGCUUAGUUGCCAUCAUUAAGUUGGGCACUCUAAGUUGACUGCCGGUGACAAACCGGAGGAAGGUGGGGAUGACGUCAAAUCAUCAUGCCCCUUAUGAUUUGGGCUACACACGUGCUACAAUGGACAAUACAAAGGGCAGCGAAACCGCGAGGUCAAGCAAAUCCCAUAAAGUUGUUCUCAGUUCGGAUUGUAGUCUGCAACUCGACUACAUGAAGCUGGAAUCGCUAGUAAUCGUAGAUCAGCAUGCUACGGUGAAUACGUUCCCGGGUCU